AAUUCCUACAUAUUGAGAAUAGAGGACAAAGAACAUAGGUGAGCAAGUAAGUGCCAUUGUAGUAUGGUGUAGAGUCCUUUGUGUAUAUGCAAGAGUGGUAUAGUUGGAUAUUGAGUAGAUCUAUUCCCAGCUUCCCAAGGAAAUCACCACACCGAUUUCCAUGUUGGCUGUACAAGUUUGCACUAUCAUCAAUAAUAAAUGUUUUCAUUGCUACAUUCUCGCCAACAAGUUCUGUUAUUAUUUUUAUUGAAAUUGGUCAUUCUGACAGGGAUAAGAUGUCGCUGUCUUUACAUGUACAAGGGCCUAAAGACUGACUUGUGUUUUAUUACUAAGAUCAGGGCAACACCCAUUCUCAGUUCAGUUCCUGUCCUUCAGGGAGUGCAGUUUCCUAACACAAGCUUAUUGCCAGUGUGAUUUGUAUCUGAGCAGACUCAUCCUUUCUCUGAAUUAGGAAUUCUUCAUGCUAAGCAUCAAGACCAUUUUCUAGAUGACACUAAAGGUGGACUCUUCUCCAUCAUGACUACAAUACUCCUUAUGUUUUGAAGGACCCAUGGAGACUCAAUGACUCAAACAGAAGUCCAAGUGACCAUCUCAGAAGUAGGGUUCCUGACAGAGUACUGACAUCAACAGAGCUGUGGAUUUGAUUGAAGUUGGAUCACCUGAGAGUCAGCUGCUAUUUGCCUCACAGAAUUUUCAUAUGAAUGUUAUCUCAAAUUGUGUCAAAUUGUGGAAUAAGGAGGGAGAUCAUGAGCAAGGAAGUCAGGACCGUGAGGAGUGCGUUUAC